rnacentral:rRNA from 1 species
AGGCUUUGCCUGCUAUCUCUUACCCAUGUCUUUUGAGUACCUUACGUUUCCUCGGCGGGUUCGCCCGCCGGUUGGACAAAACUUAAACCCUUUGUAGUUGCAAUCAGCGUCUGAAAAAACUUAAUAGUUACAACUUUCAACAACGGAUCUCUUGGUUCUGGCAUCGAUGAAGAACGCAGCGAAAUGCGAUAAGUAGUGUGAAUUGCAGAAUUCAGUGAAUCAUCGAAUCUUUGAACGCACAUUGCGCCCCUUGGUAUUCCAUGGGGCAUGCCUGUUCGAGCGUCAUUUGUACCUUCAAGCUCUGCUUGGUGUUGGGUGUUUGUCUCGCCUUUUGCGUGUAGACUCGCCUCAAAACGAUUGGCAGCCGGCGUAUUGAUUUCGGAGCGCAGUACAUCUCGCGCUUUGCACUCAUAACGACGACGUCCAAAAAGUACAUUUUUACACUCUUGACCUCGGAUCAGGUAGGGAUACCCGCUG